CAUUUAAUUCCAUACCACUCUUGAUUUCCAUGAUUUCCUAUCUCAGUCGCAUAGCCAUGUGUUUCCUUGAUUUGGUCACUCUUGGGGGCCCAAACAUAUCUCUAAGUUAAAGGGGCAAGAUCCUUUCUUAGUUGACCAUGCAGAUCAGAAUGUUUCAUUAUAUUGCCCGAAAGACACAUUAACAACUCCACCGGUGGUAGUUACCUUGAUAGAGGACUGGCACGCCUUGCUAGAGGGCAAAUUUUGGGGACAUGUUAGGACUGGCACGCCUUGCUAUAGGAUAAAUUUUAUCUACCAUCGG
rnacentral:lncRNA from 1 species